rnacentral:rRNA from 1 species
AUUGAACGCUGGCGGCAGGCCUAACACAUGCAAGUCGAACGGUAACAGAAAGCAGCUUGCUGCUUUGCUGACGAGUGGCGGACGGGUGAGUAAUGUCUGGGAAACUGCCUGAUGGAGGGGGAUAACUACUGGAAACGGUAGCUAAUACCGCAUAACGUCGCAAGACCAAAGAGGGGACCUUCGGGCCUCUUGCCAUCGGAUGUGCCCAGAUGGGAUUAGCUAGUAGGUGGGGUAACGGCUCACCUAGGCGACGAUCCCUAGCUGGUCUGAGAGGAUGACCAGCCACACUGGAACUGAGACACGGUCCAGACUCCUACGGGAGGCAGCAGUGGGGAAUAUUGCACAAUGGGCGCAAGCCUGAUGCAGCCAUGCCGCGUGUAUGAAGAAGGCCUUCGGGUUGUAAAGUACUUUCAGCGGGGAGGAAGGGAGUAAAGUUAAUACCUUUGCUCAUUGACGUUACCCGCAGAAGAAGCACCGGCUAACUCCGUG